rnacentral:rRNA from 1 species
UACGUAGGGACCAAGCGUUGUUCGGAUUUACUGGGCGUAAAGGGUGCGUAGGUGGUGGGGUAAGUCGGAUGUGAAAGCCCGGAGCUCAACUCCGAAAUGGCAUUGGAAACUACCCUGCUAGAGGAUUGGAGGGGGGACUGGAAUACUUGGUGUAGCAGUGAAAUGCGUAGAUAUCAAGUGGAACACCAGUGGCGAAGGCGAGUCCCUGGACAAUUCCUGACACUGAGGCACGAAAGCUAGGGGAGCAAACAGG